CAGGGUCACUAAGAUUCAGCACCUGCAGGCACCUGGCACAGAAGCAGCUGAUUCCUGCACUGCUGAAGCCGAUAUUAACCAAUUGGUGUGGAGAUAGUUAUGAGUCACACCCAUGUCUGGCUGAAAUAUAGCCCUGCCUAGAAACAGAAGAAAGCACUCAGCUGCCACAUGGGCUGUGCUUCCCAUGUGAGAAGGAGAGGCUCAGAGACGGCUGAUGAUCAUCUUGGGCUUGGGUUGUUUCCAGAUGUGCAGAAAGGUAAUACAAGUGGGUCCUCAUGGCUCUCAUCAGCAAAUCCUUCCAACGUUUGAGGAAGACAGAGCCAGGAUGUGUAAAAAUGAAACUCCUACAGUUGCAGGGCUGCUAGUCACACAGCACCAUCACACUCCAUGCCACCCUACAUCCGAACAGCGCCCAGGCCUCCAGCGCCCCACCUGAGAAAAGAGAAGAUGAGAAAGCUGCAAGUUGUACAAGUAACCAGAUGACCUGUUACUAAAGCAAGGCGUGCUGCAUCCUUCCCCUUGUGAAGGGGGCUGGGCAGCCACCCUGCUGUGUGCGCUUGUUCCCAGCAAAAGGUCUUGCUGCAGGGGUUUGUGGAACCCGCUCAUCUAGUUCAUUUCUAGCGUAGUUAUGAUUUCAGUUUUUCACCUUUGCCAGCCAACUUUUUCCAGUGUGUAAAGCCAGACACUUUGGCUUUUAUUCCUCUGGUCAUUAGAAAUCAACCCCUCUGCUUUUAUUCCAUUUGUCUCUCCCCUCAUUUGUGGCCUGCUGGCCCCCUCUCCAGUCUUAGGACUGGGUCCCUUCCUGAUACUUGCUGCUGACUUGACAAGGAGGCUUCAGGCUGACACUGUCCGUGCCUGUCUCCCGUGGAUGUGGUCCUCACCCUCAUGCACCUGGAUGGUGGAAGGAGGGAGGAAGCUAGAAGACGGAGCAUGAAACAGAAGGCCACAAGUCUACUGACUGCUGCUACCCACACCCAGUGUGGUUUAGACCCAGCGUCACAGCAUGAGUCCACAUUCACACAUCCUAAGCCAGCAACCUUGGAAACUUCCCAUUACCCCAUGAGGCUUUGGGGGACGUCUACAUACAAACCGUAACAUCAGAAGAAUGUAAGAAAAGGGAGAGAAGCGGUGUGUCUUUCUGCAUAAGUACUUAAAUGAGAAAUGAGUAAAAAUUUUUAUACCC